rnacentral:rRNA from 1 species
UACGGAGGGUGCAAGCGUUAUCCGGAUUUACUGGGUUUAAAGGGUGCGUAGGUGGGCGAGAAAGUCAGUGGUGAAAUCUCCGGGCUUAACCCGGAAACUGCCAUUGAUACUAUUUGUCUUGAAUACUUUGGAGGUAAGCGGAAUAUGUCAUGUAGCGGUGAAAUGCUUAGAUAUGACAUAGAACACCCAUUGCGAAGGCAGCUUGCUACACAAUGAUUGACGCUGAGGCACGAAAGCGUGGGGAUCAAACAGG